rnacentral:rRNA from 1 species
UACGUAGGGUGCGAGCGUUGUCCGGAAUUAUUGGGCGUAAAGAGCUCGUAGGCGGUCUGUUGCGUCGGCUGUGAAAACCCGGGGCUCAACCCCGGGCCUGCAGCCGAUACGGGCAGACUAGAGUUCGGCAGGGGAGACUGGAAUUCCUGGUGUAGCGGUGAAAUGCGCAGAUAUCAGGGAGGAACACCGGUGGCGAAGGCGGGUCUCUGGGCCGAUACUGACGUGGAGGAGCGAAAGCGUGGGGAGCGAACAGG